CCUACGGGUGGCAGCAGUGAGGAAUAUUGGUCAAUGGGCGCGAGCCUGAACCAGCCAAGUAGCGUGAAGGAUGACUGCCCUACGGGUUGUAAACUUCUUUUAUAAAGGAAUAAAGUGAGGCACGUGUGCCUUUUUGUAUGUACUUUAUGAAUAAGGAUCGGCUAACUCCGUGCCAGCAGCCGCGGUAAUACGGAGGAUCCGAGCGUUAUCCGGAUUUAUUGGGUUUAACGGGAGCGUAGGUGGGUUGUUAAGUCAGUUGUGAAAGUUUGCGGCUCAACCGUAACAUUGCAGUUGAUACUGGAAGUCUUGAGUACAGUUGAGGUAGGCGGAAUUCGUGGUGUAGCGGUGAAAUGCUUAGAUAUCACGAAGAACUCCGAUUGCGAAGGCAGCUUACUAGACUGCAACUGACAUUGAGGCUCGAAAGUGUGGGUAUCAAACAGGAUUAGAUACCCCUGUAGUC
rnacentral:rRNA from 1 species